rnacentral:rRNA from 1 species
CCUACGGGAGGCUGCAGUGGGGAAUAUUGCACAAUGGGGGAAACCCUGAUGUAGCGACGCCGCGUGAGUGAAGAAGUAAUUCGUUAUGUAAAGCUCUAUCAGCAGGGAAGAAAAUGACGGUACCUGAGUAAGAAGCCCCGGCUAACUACGUGCCAGCAGCAGCGGUAAUACGGAGGGGGCAAGCGUUAUCCGGAUUUACUGGGUGUAAAGGGGGCGUAGACGGCAUGUCAAGUCUGAAGUGAAAGGCGGGGGCUCAACCCCCGGACUGCUCUGGAAACUGUACGGCUAGAGUGCAGGAGAGGUAAGUGGAAUGCCUAGUGUAGCGGUGAAAUGCGUAGAUAUUAGGAGGAACACCAGUGGCGAAGGCGGCUUACUGGACUGUAACUGACGUUGAGGCUCGAAAGCGUGGGGAGCAAACAGGAUUAGAUACCCCUGUAGUC